UAGGGAAUCUUCGGCAAUGGGGGGAACCCUGACCGAGCAACGCCGCGUGAGUGAAGAAGGUUUUCGGAUCGUAAAGCUCUGUUGUUAAGGAAGAACGAGUGUGAGAAUGGAAAGUUCAUGCUGUGACGGUACUUAACCAGAAAGCCCCGGCUAAUUACGUGCCAGCAGCCGCGGUAAUACGUAAGGGGCGAGCGUUGUCCGGAAUUAUUGGGCGUAAAGAGUGCGUAGGCGGCAAAUUAAGUCAGAUGUGAAAACUAAGGGCUCAACCCAUAGAUUGCAUCUGAAACUGAUAUGCUUGAGUCAAGGAGAGGAAAGUGGAAUUCCUAGUGUAGCGGUGGAAUGCGUAGAUAUUAGGAGGAAUACCGGUGGCGAAGGCGACUUUCUGGACUUGAACUGACGCUGAGGCACGAAAGCGUGGGGAGCAAACAG
rnacentral:rRNA from 1 species